UACGUAGGGUGCAAGCGUUGUCCGGAAUUAUUGGGCGUAAAGGCUCGUAGGCGGCUUGUCGCGUCUGCUGUGAAAACCCGAGGCUCAACCUCGGGCCUGCAGUGGGUACGGGCAGACUAGAGUGUGGUAGGGGAGACUGGAAUUCCUGGUGUAGCGGUGAAAUGCGCAGAUAUCAGGAGGAACACCGAUGGCGAAGGCAGGUCUCUGGGCCACUACUGACGCUGAGAA
rnacentral:rRNA from 1 species